rnacentral:rRNA from 1 species
AUGAAAGUUGCUCAGAAAAAUCCAAUAAAUCCGAAUGUGCGGUUCGUUCAUCUGUCACAUGCCCCUAGCAUGCUGAACAUGGAACUUUCCCCUCUCUUUCAUCUGUCCGGAAAAUGCCUAACACCAAGAAAACCCCUCCGGAUGUGCCUUGUGAUACCUUGUUUGCUCUAUAUUUACUGUUUCUUCCCCCUCUUCUCUCCGGUAGCCCCCGAGACCGAUGCUGCCCCUGUGAUCGACUACCUCAUCGACGACAUUUCUUCCUUUUCAGCAGAGCUUCCAGGCAAGCAAACCCCGCUUGAGCAUUCCGAUAUUGACCAUUUCUUUCCCUCUCGUGCUUGCAUUAGAACUGCUACUGCUUUAUGUAUGAUCCUACUCUGA